rnacentral:misc_RNA from 1 species
UUUCAGUAAUUUGUGGUUUGCGAUUUUCAUGGUCUUUUGGACUUUUGGUGACAAGAAAUAUUUUUCACUUCUGUGUAUUAUUCAGAUUGCCCACGAUAUAAUUCAUUAUUUAUACCCCCAAAUUUUUGUCACCAUGUCUAGCAACCGUAAUAAAUAUGAGAAAGCGCGCAGAAGAUUAGCCGCUGUUACAUUUUUAUCUAACAUUUCUCUCGAUGGCACCUUUAAAGACACAGAAUUAGUGAAGAUCGCUGAUAAAACAGCUAAACUUGAUAAGUCUGAACUACCGAUUAAAUCUGAUCCAGAUAAGGAUAUUGCUUUGCGUAAUAGCAUUCAUAACAAAAACAAAGUCCCACAGUCAAGUCCAGUCCAUCGUUUGGGAGCAGAUAAUCAUUCCCUUAGUUCCGACUCUGAACAUACUAAUAUAACCCCAGUUAAAGGACAAGUUUUCAGAGACAGAUGCUCAUCUGGUAAUACAGAGUCUUUUAAGGAGAAACAUUCAACUCGAAUCAAAAAGAAUUAUGUGAGUGUAGAUGACAAAAGCAGUUCAGAAAGUUUGAACUUUGGCCGCUUCCGCACAAGUACCACUUGUAUUCCUGAAAAUCCAUUGACCAAUGAAGUUCGGUUAGUUCGUGCAACAAAAGGAGUUUCAUUUAAAGAUGAAAGACUUGCAUUUGCACCACCACAGGGAGUACCCUGUGUAGUAUUUAGUACAAUACCAUACUCAAAAACUAUUCGCAGUGCACGGUCUGAUCAUCGAAAAGAUGGUGUUAGGAGACGCAACACCUCAGGACCACGGCCACUUUCUGCUAUCACAGAUAAUGGUGUGGACCCCUUUGAUUUGCUUGGAUUAGAAAGAGAGGAGACUGGUCAAGAUAUAUCAUACUCAAAGUUGUUGGCCCCUUCUCGAGUCUGCACCAGAGAACAAUAUAGAAAAAUGUAUGAAGGAGAUUUCAGUGACAAGUCUAGUUGGAAAUUAUCGAAUCGUCAUCCACAUGUUAUUGCCAGGACUAAAUUAUUGACGAGACACAAGGAUAAGAAAUGGUGUUUCUCGUACGAGUCCUCUCAGAGAACAAACCCAGCGUCUUCUCCGCCACAUUCGUCUGUAGAAAUCAAGUCGUUCGAUUGGGACGAGGGAUCAAUAAUGGCGCAGAAAUAUGUACAUUACUGCCCCAACGUCCUAGAUGACCCAGAACUGAUUGCCGGAAAGCACAGGACUUUGUUAACGUUCACAUCUUACAUGACCUCUAUAAUUGACUACGUGCGCCCUCAAGAUCUCAAAAAGGAAUUAAAUGAUAAAUUCCGAGAGAAGUUUCCACACAUCAAACUUACACUAAGCAAACUGCGAAGUAUCAAAAAGGAAAUGAGGAAGAUAGCUAAACAUGAUAGUGGAGGCAUUGACCUACUGUCCGUUGCCCAGGCAUAUGUUUAUUUCGAGAAGCUAAUCUUGGCUAAUUUGAUAAAUAAAGAUAACAGGAAGCUCUGCGCAGGGGCAUGUUUAUUAUUAUCAGCCAAACUGAACGACGUCAAGGGAGAAAUGUUAAAAUCGCUGAUAGAGCGUAUCGAAACAACAUUCAGGGUGAACAGGAAAGAUUUGAUGAAGUGCGAGUUCGCCGUGCUAGUGGCCCUGGAGUUCGGUCUUCACGUGCCGCCGUACGAGGUGUUCCCGCACUACCAGCGGCUGCUGCACGACUCGUGACCCUGGCGAAGGCUGGCCCUCGAGCCAUGUAUACGCGUGUGCCACCGGCGUCGUGCUAGCAUCGUUGAUAAUUUCAGAGCUAGUGCUUGGAUCUAAAGUUACUCAAUCUAGAGCACACUGCGUAUUUUCAACACGCCGAUGAUGCGCAGAUAGUACUAAUUAAAGCUCUUCAAUUUAAAACGGAGGGUGUUGCUCAUAUUGGUGCUCCUAUGCCUUGCAAGCACGAAGGCCGUUGAGAAGAAAUCGCAACAUGUGCAACCACAAGACAUGCCCGCGGACGUUACGGAAUCUGCCGACCUUGAUACAGACCUCAAUACACAACCAACUUUCUGGCGUUUUUGGAAACCACGGAGACUGUUGAAAUUUGGUCGUGCUAUGUUUAACAAUAAGUCACCGCGCUCUCUUGGACCAUUGGAGAGCAUUAUGGAGAAGCACCACGGGCAUCGUGAUGGGAAGCGAAAAUUAAAGAACAAAGUU